CCAGCUACUCAGGAUUGGCUGAGGCAGGAGAAUCAUUUGAACCUGGGAGGUGGAGGUUGCAGUGAGGCAAGAUUGCACGCUUGCACUCCAGCAAUGUCAGGCCGGGCGCGGUGG